rnacentral:lncRNA from 9 species
AUGUUGGAAAUGAUGUGAAAUGCUUCGAAAUUUGUGUUCUGCCCGUGUUUCCUGUUGUUUAUGGAUCCCUUUGUCUCCAAAUGAAAUGUCAUCUUCUCCUUCCCCUUUGGAAAUUUCUAGGAUCAAGUUAACACAGUAGCAGUCGAGCAGUAUGGACCACAAGAAUCUGUUUAUGUAAUUAACAUAGAGUCAGAUACGGCUUAUGACUCCUGUACAUCUUCCUCGGAAAGCACGUCUAAAUCUUCAGCUACGUCAUCUUUGCAGAGCUUUGAAUCUGAUCCUGAGUUGGGACAUGUGAAUUAUAUGGAUGAGGUGGAACAGACGGAGCAUAUGGACCAGAUGUAUGAAAUGGAGGAGGUGGACCAGGUGGAUGAGGGAGAUGAGGAAGACCAGUAUGUUCAAGAGGACGAAGAGGGCCAGGUGUACCAGGUGUUCCGGGAUGAGCAGGCAGACCAGGUGUACCAUCUGUACCAUGACAAGCAAGAUGACCGGGUGUACCAGGUGUACCAAGUGUACCAGGAGGACCAGGUGGACCAGGUGUACCUGGAGGACCAGGAGGACCAGAAGGACCAGGUGUACCAGUUGUACCAAGUGUACCAGGAGGACCAGGUGGACCAGGUGGACCUAGAGGACCAGGAGGACCAGAAGGACCAGGUGUACCUGGAAGACCAGGAGGACCAGGUGGACCAAGUAUACCAGGAGGACCAGGAGGACCAGAAGGACCAGGUGUACCUGGAAGACCAGGAGGACCAGGAGGAUCCAGAGGACCAGGUGGAUUGGGUGUACCUGGAGGACCUGGAAGACCAGGAGGACCAGGAGGACCAGGUGGAUCGGGUAUACCUGGAGGACCAAGAGGACGAGGUGUACGUGGAGGACCAGGAGGACCAGGUGGAUCGGGUAUGCCUGGAGGACCUGGAGGACCAGGAGGACCAAGAGGACGAGGUGUACCUGGAGGACCAGGAGGACCAGGAGGAUCGAGUGUACCUGGAGGACCAGGAGGACCAGAUGGACCAGCAGGACCAGGAGGACCAAGUGUACCUGGAGGACCAGGAGGACCAGGUGUACCUGGAAGACCAGGAGGACCAAGUGUACCUGGAGGACCAGGAGGACCAGGUGUACCUGGAAGACCAGGAGGACCAGGUGUACCUGGAAGACCAGGAGGACCAGGUGUACCAGGAGGACCAAGAGGAGCAGGAGGACCAGGUGGCACAGGAGGACCAGGUGGCACAGGAGGACCAGGUGGAACAGGAGCCCCUCCUGUCCUCCAGCAUGGCUGCUGACAUCAGUGAUGAGCUGCCACCGGCGAUCGUAGCCUACCUCGAGAGACGAGAGAUGGAGCUGAUGAAGAAGUUCAGGGAGCAGCUGGAGGAGGAGAGUCAGAUGCUUCAGGCUGACAUCAAAACCCAGAGGGAUGCACUGGAAAUCUUGAAGGAGCAGCUUCAGGCCAUGCAGGAUUCCAUGCUUCAGGCGUCCACCUUGCGCCACGUCCGUAGCCCUGAGCUCCAGUCUUUGGAGCCAGUGGCCAAGAAACAACGCAUCGAGCCAGUAGAGAGUUCUUUCUGGGAUCUCAAGGAGGACAUGUAUUGUUGUGGUUCGUGUUCAUCUGAGUCUUUCCAGUUCCCGGAGGAGCUUGAGGAGCCCUGUGACCUCUCUACCCAGCUGCUCUUUCCGGAGGAGGACAAGUACCUGCAGCAGGAGGAAGAGCAGGUGGAGGACGAGAGGCUGCAGGAGCAGCCCCAGAAGCCUGAUUUCAUUGUGGACAACCAGACGCUGCAGAUAUGCCUGCCCGGCCAGACUGGCCUUUCUCUGGCCAUGUUUGAAGAUACACUGAUGUUUAUGCAGAACCAGCCCCCCGUUGUUGCUGCCCCUUUACCAACUGAUGAAAACAUCGCGGGCCAGGAAAACCGGAGUCCUGGUUUCCUUCCUGAGGACCAGCUGGGGCCCAGCCUGAGUCCACGGCCACUGUUGCCACACAGCCCCAGUUCGGAGACUCUCUCUUCUACCAGUUUUCCUCAGUCUCCCCCAAGUUCCGAAUCCACCUUAACCACCGUGGAGACCCCCGAGGAUGACACCCAACUGUGGCAACAGCCCCAAGAUCUGCAGCAUCACCUGUACCUCCGAGGGAGCGCUUGGCCCUCCGGAGAGGAAGCCACCUGGCAGGACCACAUCACCUGGGCCCAGGUAGCCCCGUCCAGAGCACCCCUUCCCCCUACGCGCCAUGCGUGAAACCCACACUUCAAAGCUCAAGCAAAUCCGAGGGUGAUUUACUCAAAGACGGUAGCGUGGCCCCUGGGAACCGCAAACUCCCAACCUUAC